AGGUACCUGCAAGCAAGAACAAGAUCCUACUUUCCAGUUGUGGAAAAUUUAAACUACUCAGAGAUGAGAAAAGGAUUUCUGUGUACACAGACAGCACUGCACAGCUGGCCAAGCACAUUACUGGCAUGUCAGAAGGAAGGGGAGGAGAGACCACCUUCUCCAAACCAUUAAAUGCCUUUUGCAACUGGUAAACACAAACUAACACAGCAGUUAAGAUAGAUGAAUCUUGAUUAAACAGAAAAAUGACAGCUGUUGCCUGAAAAUGAAGACCUAAACCAGUGGAAAAGGAAAUGAAUAAGUUCACGUUCACUCUCUAUGGGGAGAACCACCUGCUAUAUCCUGAGACAGUCUUGGUGGAAAGUGACUCGUGAUGAGGGACUGAGGCCACAGCUGCUUGAGUGAGCUGGCAGGUGGAUCCCACUGUAGUCCAAUCUAGAUGUGACUGAAGCUGGACCAACACCUUGAUUGCAGCCUAUGGAGAUGCUGAGCCAAGAGGAACC